GGCCUGACAACGGGCUCCGGGUGAAUGGGUGAGGAUGUGGUAUCAGCUCGUUCCAGGCAGGGGGGUAUCUCAGCCGCCGGCAGUAAUGGAGGGGGACAGUCAGGAACCAGUGACUCUUGAUUCGGUGUCUCGACAGAAGUGGUGAAGUCAGGCAACUCAACUGAAGAUGUGUCCUGAGGACUGGUAUGACCUGGCAACAGCUGAUCUACAUGUCGCCGCCAGGCACACUCUAUGCGUCCCUUUUUGCCACAGUGUCGACACACCAGGUCCUUACACAAGCAUUCUGAUGCAUGGUGACCCGGCUUACCACUGUGGUAACAUUCCUGACUCCGCACAGUUUUGUGGGACCUGCAGAUCUUACAGCAGUCGCUGAUGUGAGAUUCGCCCAAGCAGCGGAGACAGUCGGUGUGCAGGUCACUUCUAGGCAUCGAAUGCCUGCAAGACUUGCAUGAUUUAAACCCUGGGGCCUGGGGCAUGCCCCGGCCUGAACACUAACUAACU